AUAUAUCGGAACGUGCCCAGUCGUGGGGGAUAACGCAGCGAAAGCUGUGCUAAUACCGCAUACGAUCUAUGGAUGAAAGCGGGGGAUCGCAAGACCUCGCGCGAUUGGAGCGGCCGAUAUCAGAUUAGGUAGUUGGUGGGGUAAAGGCUCACCAAGCCGACGAUCUGUAGCUGGUCUGAGAGGACGACCAGCCACACUGGAACUGAGACACGGUCCAGACUCCUACGGGAGGCAGCAGUGGGGAAUUUUGGACAAUGGGCGCAAGCCUGAUCCAGCAAUGCCGCGUGCAGGAUGAAGGCCUUCGGGUUGUAAACUGCUUUUGUACGGAACGAAAAGGCUCUGGUUAAUACCUGGGGCCCAUGACGGUACCGUAAGAAUAAGCACCGGCUAACUACGUGCCAGCAGCCGCGGUAAUACGUAGGGUGCGAGCGUUAAUCGGAAUUACUGGGCGUAAAGCGUGCGCAGGCGGUAAUGCAAGACAGAUGUGAAAUCCCCGGGCUUAACCUGGGAACUGCAUUUGUGACUGCAUUGCUGGAGUGCGGCAGAGGGGGAUGGAAUUCCGCGUGUAGCAGUGAAAUGCGUAGAUAUGCG
rnacentral:rRNA from 1 species